rnacentral:rRNA from 1 species
ACUAACAGGAUUCCCCUAGUAACUGCGAGUGAAGCGGGAAAAGCUCAAAUUUAAAAUCUGGCAGUCUCUGGCUGUCCGAGUUGUAAUCUAGAGAAGUAAUGCCCGUGCUGGACCGUGUAUAAGUCUCCUGGGAUGGGGCGUCAUAGAGGGUGAGAAUCCCGUCUUUGACACGGACUACCAGUGCAUUGUGGUAUGCUCUCAAAGAGUCGAGUUGUUUGGGAAUGCAGCUCAAAAUGGGUGGUAAAUUCCAUCUAAAGCUAAAUAUUGGCGAGAGACCGAUAGCGAACAAGUACCGUGAGGGAAAGAUGAAAAGAACUUUGGAAAGAGAGUUAAACAGUACGUGAAAUUGCUGAAAGGGAAACGCUUGAAGUCAGUCGCGUUGGCCGGGAAUCAGCCUUGCUUUUGCUUGGUGUACUUUCUGGUUGACGGGUCAGCAUCAAUUUUGACCGCUGGAAAAAGGCCUGGGGAAUGUGGCAGCUUCGGCUGUGUUAUAGCCCCUAGUUGCAUACAGUGGUUGGGAUUGAGGAACUCAGCACGCCGCAAGGCCGGGUUUCGACCACGUUCGUGCUUAGGAUGCUGGCAUAAUGGCUUUAAGCGACCCGUCUUGAAACACGGACCAAGGAGUCUAACAUGCCUGCGAGUAUUUGGGUGGAAAACUCAAGUGCGUAAUGAAAGUGAAAGUUGAGAUCCCUGUCGUGGGGAGCAUCGACGCCCGGACCAGAACUUUUGGGACGGAUCCGCGGUGGAGCAUGUAUGUUGGGACCCGAAAGAUGGUGAACUAUGCCUGAAUAGGGUGAAGCCAGAGGAAACUCUGGUGGAGGCUCGUAGCGAUUCUGACGUGCAAAUCGAUCGUCAAAUUUGGGUAUAGG